GUUCCCAAUGAUGCUUUUACGAUUAACCAUGCUAAUUCCGAUGAACUAGUGACGGAAAACGUUUGAUUAAUAUCUGAUGGGAACG
rfam:Ipomoea nil DNA, scaffold: scaffold1043, cultivar: Tokyo-kokei standard.